rfam:Ornithorhynchus anatinus chromosome 3, whole genome shotgun sequence.
CCCCUCUCAGGAUCACACCUGGAGAGUUUCCAGUCCUCUACCAGUCUUGGCUAAGGGAGGCAGGGAUAGUCAAGCAGAGGCAUCCCCUUUCCAUUCCUAGCUUGGGCAGUGGCUAGCAAGUGGAAGGCAACCUGUUACAAGU